rnacentral:rRNA from 1 species
AAGGAAUAUUGGUCAAUGGACGCAAGUCUGAACCAGCCAUGCCGCGUGGAGGAUGAAGGUCCUCUGGAUUGUAAACUUCUUUUAUCUGGGACGAAACACUUCUUUUCUAAGAGGCCUGACGGUACCAGAUGAAUAAGCACCGGCUAACUCCGUGCCAGCAGCCGCGGUAAUACGGAGGGUGCGAGCGUUAUCCGGAUUUACUGGGUUUAAAGGGUGCGUAGGUGGGCUUAUAAGUCAGUGGUGAAAUCUCCGAGCUUAACUUGGAAACUGCCGUUGAUACUAUAGGUCUUGAAUUAUCUGGAGGUAAGCGGAAUAUGACAUGUAGAGGUGAAAUGCUUAGAUAUGACAUAGAACACCAAUUGCGAAGGCAGCUUACUACAUAUAAAUUGACGCUGAGGCACGAAAGCGUGGGGAUCAA